AGCGAACGCUGGCGGCAGGCCUAACACAUGCAAGUCGAACGAACCUUUCGGGGUUAGUGGCGGACGGGUGAGUAACACGUGGGAACGUGCCUUUAGGUUCGGAAUAACUCAGGGAAACUUGAGCUAAUACCGGAUGUGCCCUUCGGGGGAAAGAUUUAUCGCCUUUAGAGCGGCCCGCGUCUGAUUAGCUAGUUGGUGAGGUAAAGGCUCACCAAGGCGACGAUCAGUAGCUGGUCUGAGAGGAUGAUCAGCCACAUUGGGACUGAGACACGGCCCAAACUCCUACGGGAGGCAGCAGUGGGGAAUCUUGCGACAUGGGCGAAAGCCUGACGCAGCCAUGCCGCGUGAAUGAUGAAGGUCUUAGGAUUGUAAAAUUCUUUCACCGGGGACGAUAAUGACGGUACCCGGAGAAGAAGCCCCGGCUAACUUCGUG
rnacentral:rRNA from 1 species